AGGAAAGCACCUUUACCAUCUACCUGGGCUGUAGCUGAACAUUCAUACUGUGGGAAACGCCUUCAAGAAUAUUCUUAGGUUAUUCCUAAAUCUUCACACUGGUUGAGAAACCACCUCCAGCACCUUCAUAAAAUAUGAGUGAACUUUCACAUUGUGGCUGAAAAAUGUCUUCUGGCAUCUUCCUAGUGUGUACUGAACAUUCACACUGUGGUUGGGAAACCCUCCAGCAGCAUUAUGGGCUCUGGCUGACCUUUAUACUGUGGUUGGAAAACCACCUCCAGGAUCUUCAUGGGAUGUGCCUGAACCUUCACAGAGUAGUUGGGGAAGCAUCUCAAGCACCAUCAUGGGAGGUGUUGCUGGACCUUUACACUGGUUUGGAAAGUGCCUCUAAGAUUUUCAAAGUUAUGGCUGGACAUCCACAUUGUGAUUGGGAAGCCCCCUCCAGAGUAUUCUUGGAGUGUUUCUAAACCUUCACAUUGGUUUGGAAACCACCUCCAGCAUCUUCAUGGGUUGUGUCUAGACCUUUGUGCUGUGGUUGGCAAACAACCUCCAGCAUCUUCAUAGGGUGUGGCUGGACCUUCACAAUGUGGUUGAGAAACUGCCUCCAGUAUCAUCAUGGAGUGUGGCUGAACAUUCAUGUGGCUGGGAAACCACCUCCAGAAUCUUUAUGGGAUAUGACUGAACCUUCACAUUGUGAUCGGGAAAGUACCUCCAGCAGCAUCAUUGGGUGAUGUUUAACAUUCACAUUGUGGUUAGGAAGCCACCUCCAGCAUCAUUAUGGAGUGUGACUGAACCUUCACAGUGUUGUUGAAAAAAUAACCUCCAUCAUCUUCAAGGGGAGUGGCUGACCAUUCAUUUUGUGGCUGGGAAACCACCUUGAGCAUUUUCAUGGGCCUAAACAUUCACACUGUGGUUGGGAAACCACCUCCAGGAUCUUCAUGGGCUGUGGCUGGACCUUCAUUCUGUGUUUUAAAAGCACCUUCAGAAACAUCACAGGGUGUGUUUGAACAUUUAAAUUGUAGUUAUGAAACCACCUUUAGCAUCUGUAUGGGCUGUAGCUGAACAUUCACACUGUGGUUGGAAAUCUGUUUCCACCAUCUUCAUGGGAUGUAGCUGAACAUCAUCACAUUGUAGUAGGGAAACCUCCAACAUCUUCAGUGGGUGUGGCUGAACUUUAACACUGUGGUUCAGAAAUCACCUCCAGGAUCAACAUGUGUGGCUAAACAUCUCAUUGUGGUUGGGAAACUGCAUCAAACAUCUGCAUGGAUGUGAGUGCACAUCCCUUCUGUGGUUGUCAACCACCUCCACCAUCUUCAUGAGGCUGACUAUAUCUUUACGUAGUGGUUGGGGAAGUGUGCCCACCAUCUUCAAGGGGUGUGGCUGAAUCUUAAAACCAUAGUUGGAAAAUCACCUCCAGUGUCCUCAAGGCAGUAGAUGAACAUUCUCACUGUGGCUAGGAAACCACUUCCAGAAUCUUCAUGGAGUGUGGCUAAACUUUCACACUGUGGUAGCAAAACUCCCUCCAGCAUCUUCAAGGAAUGUAACUGAACACCCAUUCUAUGGUUGGGAAACCACCUCCAGCAUCUUCAUGGGAUGUAGCUGAAUAUCACAUUGUGGUGGGGAAACGGCCUUUGGCAUCUACAUGGGAUGUGACUGGAUACCCAUCCUGUACUUGGGAAGCCACCUCCAGCAUCCAUGGGGUGUGGCUGGACACCACCCUGCAGUGAGGAAACAUUUCCAGUAUCUUUCUUCAUGUGCUGGACACUGUUCUGUAAUCCACUGAUUGGGAAAUCAACUUCAGCAUCUUCACUGAGUGUUCUCAAUACUCAACGCGCAGAACGCUCCUGACUCAGAUGUGCCUCAUCAGUUCUCCAGCAUCAGCUGGGUGCUCUGCAGCCCUGUUCUGUUUUGAGUCUAACCCGAGUCAGUGCAGGCUCCACAGGUGAGGGGUUUGGUCCCACACGGUUGUCCCCCACUUCAGAUGGAAUCUAAAUUAGUAGGAUCCAGGUCACUCACAACUUUGUCUGAAUUGGCUGUGACUCAGAGGUCCCCAAACUCCCUCCUUGGGUUCUGAAAUUUUUUAGGGAGUCUACAGAACUCAGGGAAACACAU
rnacentral:lncRNA from 1 species